rnacentral:rRNA from 1 species
UACGGAGGGUGCGAGCGUUGUCCGGAAUCACUGGGCGUAAAGGGCGCGUAGGCGGCAUGCCAAGCGUGUGGUGAAAGCCCGGGGCUCAACCCCGGGUCGGCCGUGCGGACUGGCGUGCUCGAGCACUGUAGGGGCGGGUGGAAUUCCGGGUGUAGCGGUGGAAUGCGUAGAGAUCCGGAAGAACAUCAGUGGCGAAGGCGGGUCUCUGGGCAACAACUGACGCUGAGGAGCGAAAGCGUGGGGAGCGAACAGG